AAGCUCGUAGUUGAAUUUCGGGGUUAGUAGGUUGGUCAUGCCUCUGGUAUGUACUGGUCUCACUGAUUCCUCCUUCCUUAUGAACCGUAAUGCCAUUAAUUUGGUGUUGCGGGGAAUUUGGACUGUUACUUUGAAAAAAUUAGAGUGUUUAAAGCAAGCUAACGCUUGAAUACAUUAGCAUGGAAUAAUGAAAUAGGACGUUCGAUCUUAUUUUGUAGGUUUCUAGGAUUGACGUAAUGAUUAAUAGGGAUAGUUGGG
rnacentral:rRNA from 1 species